GCUCCCUCACGACGCCAGGACAGCGGAGUCAAUCACCACCUUCCGGAGACACCUGAAACCUCACCUCUUUAAGGAAUACCUAGGAUAGGAUAAAAGGCCGACCCAAAACAACGCCGCUGAAGAAGAGGGAGAUGGAGUGUAAUUCUGGUCAGACUUCGGAGGCACGGACACCACCCACUGCUUCCGAGUAUAUUACUGGCUAAACAAAAGGAACUUAAGUCCUUUUGUUCACCGGACCUAGAAUUCCUCACAAUCAAAUUCUGACUAUAUUAUCUUCCAAGAGAAUUCUCUUUAAUUAUUGUCACAGCCGUGUAUAUGCCCCCUCCAGCCGAUACCACGACAGCCCUCAAGGAACUUCACUGGACUUUAUGCAAACUGGAAACCAUAUAUCCUGUUCCGGGUAGCCUCAGAGAAUAAUACAGACGAAUACAUAUACAUUGAUUCGGUGAGUGAGUUUAUAAGGAAGUGUAUAGGAGAUGUUGUACUGUGACUAUUAAAACCUACUCUAACCAGAAACCGUGGAUAGAUGGCGGCAUUCGCGCAAAACUGAAAGUGCGAACCACCGCAUUUAACCAUGGAAAGGUGACUGGGAAUAUGACCGAACACAAACAGUGAAGUUAUUCCCUCCGCAAGGCAAUCAAACAAGCGAAAUGUCAGUACAGAGACAAAGUGGAGUCGCAAUUCAACGGCUCAGACACGAGAUGUAUGUGGCAGGGUCUACAGACAAUCACGGACUACAAAAGUAAAACCAGACAUGUCACGGACACCAACGUCUUGCUUCCAGACAAACUAAACACCUUCUUUGCCUGCUUUGAGGAUAAUACAGUGCCACCGACACGUCCCGCUACCAAGGACUCCACAGUCCUCUCCUUCUUCGUGGCCGACUCUGCUGUCCCCACAUGCUUCAAGACGGCCACCACUGUUCCUGUACCCAAGAAUGCAAAGGUAACUGAACUAAAUGACUUUUGCCCCGUAGCCCUCACUUCUGUCAUCAUAAAGUGCUUUGAGAGACAAGUCAAGGAUCAUAUCACCUCCACCUUACCUGUCACCCUAGACCCACUUCAAUUUGCUUACUGCCCAAAUAGGUCCACAGACGAUGCAAUCGCCAUCACACUGAACACUGCCCUAUCCCAUCUGGACAAGAGGAAUACCUAUGUAAGAAUGCUAUUCAUUGACUAUAGCUCAGAUUUCAACACCAUAGUACACUCCAAGCUCAUCACUAAGCUUGAGGCCCUGGGUCUCAACCCCACCCUGUGCAAUUGGGUCCUGGACUUCCUGACGGGCCGCCCCCAGGUGGUGAAGGUAGGAAACAUCUCCACUUCACUGAUCCUCAACACUGGGGCCCCACAAUGGUUCCUGUACUACCUGUUCACCCAUGACUGCGUGGCCAUGCACGCCUCCAACUCAAUCAUCAAGUUUGCAGACGACACAACAGUAGUAGGCUUGAUUACCAACAAUGACGAGACAACCUACAGGGAGAAGGUGAGGGCUCUCGGAGUGUGGUGUCAGGAAAAUAACCUCUCACUCAACGUCAACAAAACAUAAGAGAUGGUCGUGAACUUCAGGAAACAGCAGAGGGAGCAGCCCCCAUCUACAUCGACAGGACAGCAGUGGAGAAAGUGGAAAGUUUUAAGUUCCUCGGCGUACACAUCACGGACAAUCUGAAAUGGCUCACCCACACAGACUGUGUGGUGUAGAAGGCGCAACAGCGCCUCUUCAACUUCAGGAGGCUGAAGAAAUUUGGCUUGUCACCUAAAACCCUCACAAACUUUCCCCAGCUGUACAAUUGAGAGCAUCCUGUCUGGCUGUAUCACCGCCUGGUACGACAACUGCACCACCCACAACCACAGGGAUCUCCAGAGGGUGGUGUGGUCUGCACAACGCAUCACCAGGGGCAAACUACCUGCCCUCCAGGACUCCUACAGCACCCGAUGUCACAGGAAGGUCAAAAAGAUCAUCAAGGACAACAACCACCCGAGCCACUGCCUGUUCACCCCGCUACCAUCCAGAAGGCGAGGUCAGUACAGGUGCAUCAACGCUGGGACCGUGAGACUGAAAAACAGCUUCUAUCUCAAGGCCAUCAGACUGUUAAACAGCCAUCACUAGCACAGAGAGGCUGCUGCCACUUGAAUAAAUGGAACACUAGUCACUAUUAAAGUGCCACUUUAAUAAUGUUUACAUAUCUUGCAUUAGUCAUCUCAUAUGUAUAUACUGUAUUCUAUAUUAUCUAUUGUAUCUUAGCCUAUGCUGCUCUGUCAUUGCUCAUCCAUAUAUUUAUAUUUAUAUAUUCUUAUUCCAUUCCUUUACUUAGGUAUUGUGUGUUAGGUAUUUAUUUUGGAAUUGUUAGAUAUUACUUGUUAGAUAUUGCUGCACUGUUUGAACUAGAAGCACAAGCAUUUUGCUACACAAACAAUAACAUCUGCUAACCAUGUGUAUGUGACCAAUACAAUUUGAUUUGAUUUUGACAAGGUUCAUCCGUCUACAACAGCAACACGUGCAAAACGACUACGCAAAACAUGCCACGGCUUUGAAAAUAGAAUUCAGUGGUUCUGUGACUCGCAAACACGACAGCUCGCCG
rnacentral:lncRNA from 1 species